GAGCAAGAGCAUCUAUUGCAAAAUUAAAUGGUGCAUCCUGCCUUGAACGUUGGCAAAAAUAAGACUAGUGAUUCUCCGUGCCUAUCAAAUUGAUUUUAGACUGUUUUGAUAAUGCUUCGACCAAAUUGCCACAUG